rnacentral:rRNA from 1 species
GAUUACGGCCAUACCAGCCUGACAACGCCCGAUUUGUCUGAUCUCGGAAGCUAAGCAGAGUUUAGGCUGGGUCAGUACUUGGAUGGGUGACCGCCUGGGAAUACCCGGUGCUGUAAGCA